GACGAACGCUGGCGGCGUGCCUAAUACAUGCAAGUAGAACGCACAGUUUAUACCGUAGCUUGCUACGCCAUAGACUGUGAGUUGCGAACGGGUGAGUAACGCGUAGGUAACCUGCCUGGUAGCGGGGGAUAACUAUUGGAAACGAUAGCUAAUACCGCAUAAUAUUAAUUAUUGCAUGAUAAUUAAUUGAAAGGUGCAAUUGCACCACUACCAGAUGGACCUGCGUUGUAUUAGCUAGUAGGUGAGGUAACGGCUCACCUAGGCGACGAUACAUAGCCGACCUGGGAGGGUGGUCGGCCACACUGGGACUGGGACACGGCCCAGACUCCUACGGGAGGCAGCAGUAGGGAAUCUUCGGCAAUGGACGAAAGUCUGACCGAGCAACGCCGCGUGAGUGAAGAAGGUUUUCGGAUCGUAAAGCUCUGUUGUAAGAGAAGAAAGGGUGUGGGAGUGGAAAGUUCACACUGUGACGGUAUCUUACCAGAAAGGGACGGCUAACUACGUG
rnacentral:rRNA from 1 species